AUACGUAGGUGACAAGCGUUAUCCGGAUUUACUGGGCGUAAAGGGCGUGUAGGCGGUCUUGCAAGUCAGAAGUGAAAUUCCUGAGCUCAACUCGGGCGCUGCUUCUGAAACUGCAGGACUUGAGUGCUGGAGGGGAUAGCGGAAUUCCUAGUGGAGCGGUAAAAUGCGCAGAUAUUAGGAAGAACACCGGUGGCGAAGGCGGCUAUCUGGACAGUAACUGACGCUGAGGCGCGAAAGCGUGGGGAGCAAACAGGAUUAGAUACCCUGGUAGUCCGUGCCGUAAACGAUGAAUACUAGGUGUAGGGGGUAUCGACUCCCUCUGUGCCGCAGUUAACACAAUAAGUAUUCCGCCUGGGGAGUACGGCCGCAAGGUUGAAACUCAAAUGAAUUGACGGGG
rnacentral:rRNA from 1 species